AUGAAAAAUGAAAAGAUGUGGAAUCUGAAUUUACCAGCGACGGGAUGUGAUAAGGUGGCGGUGGAAUCUGAAUCUUAUGGUGGCGUGAGCGACGACUUGAAAAGGACACGCGGAUGCGGUGUUAAGAAAUUUGCGCGACAACUUUGGAGCACGAUUUCCGACAUCGAACCCACUAAUGCGGCUGGAAAACAUUGGAGGUAUUGGUCAAAGGUUGUACCAUGGAAGAGGUAUCGUCGAAACGGAACAUGA